UAUUACGGGUAUUACCAGCCUUAUUGUUGUAUAACUGAUGGGAAUUCAAAACCUUCCCAGAAAUCAAUUGGAGGAACAAGUCUGGUUGCCAGCAACCGCGGUAAAAUCAGCUCCAAUAGUGUAUUUUAAUUUUGCUGCAGUUAAAUAGCUCGUAAGUUGAAUUUAUAAGAUUUUUUUUCGAGGAACACUCUUUUUUAUAAUGCAUAUGUUUAUGACAUAUGCUUAUAUUUAAAGGGUUAUUUCUUACAUAAAAAGAUUCUUAUUGUAUGAAUAACUUUGACACAUUAUCCAUAAUAUAUAUAUGAUUAUGGUUAUUAUGUUUAAAGUAAUUCAUUCCAUUAUCAUGAUUAAAUUAUAGUGUUCAUGGCAAGUAAAAUGAGUUAACAACUCAGCUUCUGUAUAAUUAGGCAUGGAAUAAUAAGAUUAUUACAAUAAGUCAAAAGUUUCUUUGCGUUUGUCUUAUACUUUGUUAAGAAUAAGAUAUCACAAUAAGUCGAAAGUUUCUUGUAGUUUUUCUUAUAUUUUGACUUAGUUAGUAUUAAUAGGAGUAUCGGGGGGCAUUAGUAUUCAGAAGGAAGAGGUGAAAUUCUAAGAUUUUCUGAGGACUAACGACUGCGAAGGCAUUUGCCAAUGAUAUUUUCAUUAAUCAAGAACGAAAGUUAAGGGAGUGAAGACGGUCCGAACGCGUCGUAAUCUUAACCGUAAACUAUGCCUACUAAGCUUUGGAUAAAUA
rnacentral:rRNA from 1 species